rnacentral:lncRNA from 1 species
GGAUCCCCCAGGAUGCGCCGGGAUUUGGGCCAGGAUCUGCUGGGAUCUGCCGGGAUUUGGGUCGGGAUUGGCCGGGAUUUGGGCUGGGAUCAGCUGGGAUCCGUUGGAAUUUGGGUCGGGAUCUCCGGAAUCCGCUGGGAUUUGAGCUGGGAUCGGUCGGGAUCGGCCGGGAUUUGGAUCAGGAUCAGUUGGGAUUUGGGUCGGGAUCCGCCCGGAUCGGUUUGGAUUGGUUGGGAUUCCCAGGAUCCGUCGGAAUUUGGGCCGGGAUCUGUUGGGAUCGGCCGGGAUAUGUUGGAAUUUGGGUCGGGAUGCGUCGGGAUCAGCCAGGAUUUGGGCCGGGAUCCGUCAGAAUUUGGGUCAGGAUUGGUUGGGAUUGGCCGGGAUCCAUCAGAAUUUGGGCCGGGAUCCGUUGGGAUUCGGGCCGGGAUUUGGGUCGGGAUCUGUCGGAAUUUGGGUCGGGAUCCGUCAGGAUCGGCCAGGAUCUGUCGGGAUUUGGGCCGGGAUCGGUUGAGAUCCGUUGGGAUUUGGGUCCCGAUCCAUCGGGAUCGGUUGGGAUUUGGGUCAGGAUCAGUUGGGAUCAGUCAGGAUCCGCCGGAAUUUGGGCCGGGAUCUGUUGGAUUUUGGGUCAGGACCUGUCGGGAUUCGGUUCGGGAUCUAUCGGGAUUUGGGCCAGGAUCCGUCGGGAUUUGGGUCGGGAUCUGUCGGAUUUUGGGUCGGGAUCCCCGGGAUCCGUCGGGAUUGGCCGGGAUCUGUUGGGAUUCGGUUCGGGACCUGUCGGGAUCCCCAGGAUCCGUCGGGAUCCGUUUUGGGAUCCGUCGGGAUCCCCGGGAUCUGUCGGAUUUUGGGACGGGAUCCCCGGGAUCGGCCAGGACCCGUCGGGAUUCAGUUCGGGAUCCGUCGGGAUCCCCGGGAUCCAUCGGAAUUUGGGUCGGGAUCUGUUGGAAUUCGGCUCGGGAGCCGUCGGGAUCCCCGGGAUCCGUCGGAUUUUGGGUCGGGGUCUGUUGGAAUUCGGCUCGGGAGCCGUCGGGAUUUGGGUCAGGAUCUGUCGGAUUUUGGGUCGGGAUCCCCGGGAUCCGUCAGGAUUUGGGCCGGGAUCCAUCGGAAUUUGGGCCGGGAUUUGUCGGAUUUUGGGUCGGGAUCCGUCAGGAUUUGGAUCGGGAUCCGUCGGGAUUUGGGUCGGGAUCUGUUGGAAUUCGGCUCGGGAUCCGUCGGGAUCAGCCGGGAUCCGUCAGGAUUUGGGCCGGGAUUUGUUGGAUUUUGGGUCGGGAUCCGUCAGGAUUUGGGUCGGGAUCCGUCGGGAUCCGUUGGAAUUUGGGUCCGGAUUGGCUGGCAUUGGUCAGGAUCAGCCGGGAUCCGUCGGGAUUUGGAUUGGGAUCCGUCGGGAUCCCCGGGAUCCAUCGGAAUUUGGGUCGGGGUCUGUUGGAAUUCAGCUCGGGAGCCGUCGGGAUCCCCGGGAUCCAUCGGAAUUUGGGUCGGGAUCCGUUGGAAUUCGGUUCGGGAUCCGUCGGGAUCCCCGGGAUCCGUCGGGAUUUGGGUCGGGAUCCGUCGGGAUCCCCGGGAUCCAUCGGAAUUUGGGUCGGGAUCCGUCGGGACCCGUCGGGACGGGCGGCGCCGGUACCUGCUGGCCUCCUCCCCUCGGUAAUAAUCGGCCGCCUGCUCGUAGUGCGCCACGGCCUGGGGGGAGCCGGAAAUCCGGGAUCAGAGCCCCAAAUCCCGGGAAAAUCCCGGGGAAAUUCCGGGAAAAUCCCAGAAAAAAAUCCGGGAAAAUCCCAGAAAAAAAUCCCCCGGAAAAUCCCCCAAAACACCCGGGAGAAACAGAAUCCAUCCUGGGGAAAGAUCCCGGGAAAAUCCUGGGGAAAAUCCUGGGAAAAAUCCCGGGAAAAUUCUGGGAAAAUCCCGGGAAAGUUCCGGGAAAAUCCCAGAAAAAAACCUGGGAAAAUCCCAAAAAAUCCCCCCCCAAACACCCGGGAGAAACAGGAUCCGCCCUGGGGAAAGAUCCCGGGAAAAUCGUGGGAAAAAUCCAGAAAAAAAUACGGGGAAAUCCCAAAAAAUCCCCCGGAAAAUCCCCCCAAAACACCCG